rnacentral:rRNA from 1 species
GGCUCAGGACGAACGCUGGCGGCGGGCCUAACACAUGCAAGUCGAACGCACUCGACCUUCGGGUCAUAUGAGUGAGUGGCGAACGGGUGAGUAACACGUGAGAAACCUGUCCCGAAGACUGGAAUAACCCGAGGAAACUCGGGCUAAUACCGGAUAUCCCCACCGGAUCACAUGGUCUGGUGAGGAAAUGCUCCGGCGCUUCGGGAGGGUCUCGCGGCCUAUCAGUUAGUUGGUGAGGUAACGGCUCACCAAGGCAUCGACGGGUAGCUGGUCUGAGAGGACGAUCAGCCACACUGGGACUGAGACACGGCCCAGACUCCUACGGGAGGCAGCAGUGGGGAAUCUUGCGCAAUGGGCGAAAGCCUGACGCAGCCACGCCGCGUGAGGGAUGAAGGCUUUCGGGUUGUAAACCUCUUUCAGCAGGGACGAAAAUGACGGUACCUGCAGAAGAAGCUCCGGCCAACUACGUGCCAGCAGCCGCGGUAACACGUAGGGAGCAAGCGUUGUCCGGAUUUAUUGGGCGUAAAGAGCUCGUAGGCGGUUCGGUAAGUCGGGUGUGAAAACUUGAGGCUCAACCUCAAGAGGCCACUCGAUACUGCUGUGACUGGAGUCCGGUAGAGGAGUGUGGAAUUCCUGGUGUAGCGGUGAAAUGCGCAGAUAUCAGGAGGAACACCGACAGCGAAGGCAGCACUCUGGGCCGGUACUGACGCUGAGGAGCGAAAGCAUGGGGAGCGAACAGGAUUAGAUACCCUGGUAGUCCAUGCCGUAAACGUUGGGCACUAGGUGUGGGGUCUAGCUAACAGAUUCCGUGCCGCAGCUAACGCAUUAAGUGCCCCGCCUGGGGAGUACGGCCGCAAGGCUAAAACUC